rnacentral:rRNA from 1 species
GGCGUUGAACCUUUUUCGUGUCUUGUGGUUACUGUGUAUGUAAAGGUAGAUACUGCUUUUUUGCUGCGGGGGGCGGAGGUCUUUAAGUGUCUGGAAAUUGCCUGAGGAGGGGGAUAUUAUUGGAAACGGUAGCAAUACCGCAAGGCCAGUGCGUAAGGAGGGGGACUUCCGGGCUUUUUGCCAUGGGAUGUCCCCGGAGGGAAUUACCUAGUAGGUGGGUUAAGGCUCACAAACGCGGGAUCCCUAGUUGGUCUGGGAGGCUCACCUCCCCCACGGGAACUGAGACGCGGUCCAGAUUCCUACAGGAGGCGGCGGAGGGGAAUAUUGCACAAUGGGCGCAGGCCUGUUGCACCCUUGCGGCGGGUAUAAAAACGGCCUUCGGUUUGUAUAUUAUUUUCAGCGGGGAGAAGGGAGUAAAGUUAAUACUUUUGCUAUUGACGUAACCCGAAGAAGAAGCUUCGUCAAACUUGGUGAAAGCUGCCGCGGUUUUAGGGAGGCCGCAGGCGUUAAUCGGAAUUACGGGGGGUAUAGCGCCUGCAGGGUUAUGUUAGUCAGAUUAAAAAUCCCGGGGCUCACCCUGGGAACUGCUUCUGAUACUGGCAGGCCUGGAGUCUCGCAGAAGGGUGGGUAAAAAUUUCCAGGUGUAACCGUUAAACUGCGUACAGAUUUGGAAGAACUACCCGGGUGGACAAAGGCUGCCCCCCUGGACCAAAGCACGGACGCUUCAGGUGCGAAAUGCUUGGGCGAGCAAUCAGGAAUUAAAUUCCCCUGUUUGCUCAA